rnacentral:snRNA from 1 species
UAGCUUUGACAGCUUAUUUCCUAAAAUUGGAAUGAUACAGAGGAAAUGAGCAUAGCCCCUAUACGAGGAAGACAUACACAUCUUAAAGUGUUCCUUAUGAAA